UGGGGAAUAUUGCACAAUGGAGGGAACUCUGANGCAGNGACGCCGCGUGAGCGAAGAAGGUCUUCGGAUUGUAAAGCUCUGUCCUAAAGGAAGAUAAUGACAGUACUUUAGGAGGAAGCCCCGGCUAACUACGUG
rnacentral:rRNA from 1 species